GACGGAGGGUGCAAGCGUUAUUCGGAAUCAUUGGGCGUAAAGAGCGUGUAGGCGGCCGGUUAAGUCAGGUGUGAAAGCCCGGGGCUCAACCCCGGAAGUGCACUUGAUACUGGUCGGCUUGAGUUCGGGAGAGGGAAGCGGAAUUCCUGGUGUAGAGGUGAAAUUCGUAGAUAUCAGGAGGAACACCGGUGGCGAAGGCGGCUUCCUGGACCGAAACUGACGCUGAGACGCGAAAGCGUGGGGAGCAAACAGG
rnacentral:rRNA from 1 species